rnacentral:lncRNA from 1 species
UAACUUAUUUGGUUCAAUUAGGUUGGUUUAAAUAAUGAAAUCACCUUGACCCAUUCUCCCUGCGCCACCUCACUUCCACUGUGCCCAUUUGAAUUCACGAGAAGAAAGUUCUCAUAAAUUUUUCCUCACGCCCUACUUUAAUGUGCCAAAUGAGUGGAUAAGGAUGAUUGGUUGGCCAUUCAAAUUCAAAACAAAGUUUGAAUUUGAAUGAGCAACCAAUCUUAGCGCCUUGACCUUAUCUUCUUUUAGUGCCCCAUUUAUUAUACGAGAAAAUGUUUCUCAUGAAAUCACUC